CAGCCGCCGCGGUAAAACGAGGGGUGCAAGCGUUAUUCGGAUUGAUUGGGUGUAAGGGUGUGCAGACGGCUUAUUAAGUCACUUGUUAAAUUCUUCGGCCUAACUGAAGGUCUGCAAGUGAUACUGAUGAGCUAGAGGGUGGAAGAGAGAAGUGGAAUUCUCGGAGUAGCGGUAAAAUGCGUAGAUCUCGAGAGGAACACCAAUGGCGAAGGCAGCUUCUUGGUCCAUUCCUGACGUUCAUACACGAAAGCGUGGGGAGCAAACAGGAUUAGAUACCCCUGUAGUCCCUGUCUCUUAUACA
rnacentral:rRNA from 1 species